GGGCGGGGGCGGGGCGGCUGGGUCCAGCCCCAGGCCUUCACCCCCCUUCUCUCCGGCCUGUGCCCCCGCUACCUACCCCAGAGCUGGCACCUGGCCCAGCCCUAAGUGGGCAGCACAGGGUAGAGAGUGUGGCUGCCAGCAAGCCAGGAGGGACUUGGGGCCCUAGGGCCUGGGAGAGGUAUCUCUCCCACAUCAUGAAGGACCCCCAGCCUUUCCCCCUUGAAGCCCCAGGUCCUUGGGGGGCCUCAUUCACCAGUGUAUCCCCGAGCUCAGCAUGGAGCCUGCCAAACAGUGAGGGCUCAAGUCCAGUCAAUGUUUGCUGAAAGAAUGAUCCAGCCCAAUUUCACAGCGACAGAUAGGGACACUGAGGCCCAGAGAGGGGGUGGGGUCAUCUCAGGUCAUUCAGAGCACUAGGUUUAGGGGACAGACUGACUAGAUGCACCCAGGGGCGGGUAACAGUUUAGGAUGCAGAAAAGAGCCCAGGCGCCCCUGCCUCCAGCUCCUCUACCUCUCCUUUCCUCCUGCACACCCACUGCCAUCCUCGGCUCUGGCCCCUGCAAGGAAUGUCGUGGCUGCUGGCCUCUUCCGGAGGGAGAAAUUGAGGCUCAUAGACACCAAGCAACUUGCUCCAGACACCCAGUCAGUGAGAGUUCUGUGACUGAAUCCACGACAUAUGCCCUUCUCGAUACUUCUUCCUGCCUCUUGGUGUCUGAAGCUAUUGCCCUGGAAAUCCCACUGUGAGAGCCAGAUCUGAACAGGAGCAAAGGUCACUUGUGCCAAGAUGUCUAUGGAGCGAUAUUUAAACUGGCAUAAUAAAGAUGUCCCAAGGA